UUUUCACUUGCACGCUUUGCACACGACUCCUACCUACCAAGCGUGUCUCGGACUAACUUCGACCUCCAUUUAAUGGAUGUAAAGAUGUUUUCUUCAGUACUAUGGAGUCUUUAGAGGCCAUAGAUGAGAUGUGCAGCAGCCUGGAAUGCAUGCAGGAUCCACCAGGCAUGAGCUUGUACAGGGUGAUACGUACCACGACUAUCAGGAAUGUGGACGUGCCGUACUACAAGUGUCUGCGUGGAAUUCAUAUUUUAUGAAAUAGAAGUUAUAAAUUCUACAACUAAACUCACAUUUAGCUUAAUGUCAGAAUGUUUCACAUGAUCAAGCCAACACUUACUUGCUCCUUGUCCCUGAUGAAUUUCCUGACCCCUUCAUUUGGAAGCUGGUGAUGUGGGUCACCGGGGUGUUCAGCCACCUCCUCACGGAACUGUAGGCCUUCUGCACCCCCUCACUCUGCUCCGGGGUGAAGUCCUCAGGGUGGUUUUUGAGGGCCUGGUACUGGCUGUACAGUCCCCACAUUUUCUCAAAGGGGGCAGCAGCGUGGAUGUCAGAUGACCGUCUACAGAAAACAAGACAAUCCGGAAGUUAUUACCUUCUGUCUCCUGUGCUCUCGUGUCUGUGAUUGCCCUGAUGAGUCUCACCUAUGUCUUCAGUGUAUGUAAUCCCUGUGUUACCUCCCUCCUGUGCCAAUUUAGUGUUUGACCAGUUCUCCAGUGUUUAGACUCGGCCUGUGCUCCCUUCUCUGGUUACCUCUGCCUGUUCUUGUCGGACUACCUGAGCAUCAACCUGGCUUUCUGAAUAAACAGACUUUGAACUCUGGA